rnacentral:rRNA from 1 species
ACUUUGAAUUAAUUUAUUUAUUUAGUUUUAUUUGAAUAGAAUUUAUUUUAUUAUUUUAAGAGAAAAAAUUUAUUUAAUUAUAGUUUAUUAGUAAAGAAAUUGAAUAUUGAAAAAUAAUUUUUAAUUUUUAAAGAAUAAUUAAUUUUUAGUACCUUGUGUAUCAGGGUUGAUUAAAUAAAAAUUUAAUAUUAAGUUUUCUCGAAUUAAAAAGAUCUAAUUGGUUAUAAAUUUAAUUGUAGAAUUAAUUUUUUUAAUAAUUAAUUAGUAAUGAAACGUUAAUCGUUUUUUAAUAUAUCUGGUUUCCUAAGAAAUAAAUUUAAUUUAUUUGUUUAUAAUUUUGUAUUUAAUUUUUUAAUUAAAAAAUUUAAGCUUUGAAUAUUUAAGGGGAUGAGCUUUUAAAUAAAUUUUUAAAAAUUUUUUUUUAGUACAUUUUUAAUAGGAUUAAUAUUUUCAAUUUUUUAUAAAAUUUUAUAGUUUUCAAUAUAAGUUUUAGGAUUUGUUAUAAUUUUUAAAUCUUUUAUUAGGAUGUUUUUUGUAAUAUUUUUUAUUUUUUAAUUAUGAUUAAAUUAGUAAAUUUUUAUUUAAAUUUAAUUUAAAAUGUUAGGUUGAUAAAAGGAAUUCGGCAAAUAAGUUUUUCGCCUGUUUAUUAAAAACAUGUCCUUUAGAUUAUAAUUUAAGGUCUAAUCUGCUCAAUGAAGAUUUAAAUAGCCGCGGUAUUUUGACCGUGCGAAGGUAGCAUAAUAAUUAGUUUUUUAAUUGAAAGCUGGAAUGAAUGAUUUUACGAGAAAACUGCUGUCUCUUUAUAAUUAUAGUUGAAUUUAAUUUUUAAGUUAAAAGGCUUAAAUGUUUUUUAAAGACGAGAAGACCCUAUAGAGUUUAAUAGAAAUUUUAUUUAGUUAAAUAAAUGGUAAUAUUUAUUUUUUAUUUAAAUAUUUAUUUGAUUGGGGUGAUUUAAAGAUUAAUAAAACUCUUUAAUUAUUAAUCAUUGAUUAGUGAAUAUUAAAUCUAAAAAUUUUAAAUUUAAAACAAAUUACCUUAGGGAUAACAGCGUAAUUUCUUUUUAGAGUUCUUAUUGAUUGGGAAGUUUGCGACCUCGAUGUUGGAUUAAAAUUAAUUUUUGGUGCAGAAGCUGAAAUAUUAGGUCUGUUCGACCUUUGAAAUUUUACAUGAUCUGAGUUUAAAUCGGCGUGAGCCAGGUUGGUUUCUAUCUUAAAUAAGAUUAAAUAUUUUAGUACGAGAGGACCAGAUAUUUAAUAAAUUAUUUUAAAUUUGAUUAAUAAUA